rnacentral:rRNA from 1 species
GAUCCUGGCUCAGAUUGAACGCUGGCGGCAUGCUUUACACAUGCAAGUCGAACGGCAGCACAGGGAGCUUGCUCCCGGGUGGCGAGUGGCGCACGGGUGAGUAAUACAUCGGAACGUGUCCUGUUGUGGGGGGAUAACUGCUCGAAAAGGGUGGCUAAUACCGCAUGAGACCUGAGGGUGAAAGCGGGGGAGUCGCAAGACCUCGCGCAACUGGAGCGGCCGGAUGCCCGAUUAG